AAGAGAUUCCGUCACCACCAAAAGAGUUAAGCACAGGGACACAUUUGAAGUCUCAGAGCCGGGUGUUGGUUCCGGUAGAGAUCGAGGGAAGUUAGUACCGAAGUCUGAGAUGGAAGAUGGCGAGAAAAGCUGUGUGUAUUUCUGAGGUGCCCGUACCGCAAACCGGCACAGGUAGGUAGGAAGAAGAUUCUAAGGCCAACGGGAGAAGGGUUGUUAAGGAACUCGGCAAAUUGACCCCGUAACUUCGGGAGAAGGGGUGCUCCAGAGAUGGAGCCGCAGAGAAUCGGCCCAAGCAACUGUUUACCAAAAACACAGGUUUGUGCUAAAUCGAAAGAUGACGUAUACGAGCUGACGCCUGCCCGGUGCUGGAAGGUUAAGAGGAGAUGUGCAAGCAUUGAAUCGAAGCCCCAGUGAACGGCGGCCGUAACAAUAACGGUCCUAAGGUAGCGAAAUUCCUUGUCAGGUAAGUUCUGACCCGCAUGAAAGGCGUAAUGAUUUGGGCACUGUCUCAACAGCCCGCCCGGCGAAAUUGUAGUACCGGUGAAGAUGCCGGUUACCCGCGACAAGACGGAAAGACCCCAUGGAGCUUUACUGUAGCCUAAUAUUGGGUUUCGAUGUUGCAUGCACAGGAUAGAUGGGACACAGGGAAACAAUCGCUUCGGCGGUUGCGGAGUGGCCGUUGGGAUACCAUCCUUGCGAUAUUGGAAUUCUAACCUGCGGCUCUGAAUCGAGUCGGGGGACAUUGUUAGGUGGGCAGUUUGACUGGGGCGGUCGCCUCCUAAAAAGUAACGGAGGCGUUCAAAGGUUCGCUCAGCUUGAACGGAAAUCAAGCAAAAGAGUGCAAACGCAGAAGCGAGCCUAACUGCGAGACUGACGGGUCGAGCAGUAACGAAAGUUGGAGUUAGUGAUCCGGUGGUAUGUGAGUGGAAAUGCCAUCGCUCAACGGAUAAAAGUUACCCUGGGGAUAACAGGCUGAUCUCCCCCAAGAGUCCACAUCGACGGGGAGGUUUGGCACCUCGAUGUCGGCUCAUCGCAUCCUGGGGCUGUAUUCGGUCCCAAGGGUUUGGCUGUUCGCCAAUUAAAGCGGUACGCGAGCUGGGUUCAGAACGUCGUGAGACAGUUCGGUCCCUAUCUGUCGUGGGCGCAGGAUAUUUGAUGGGAGCUGUCCCUAGUACGAGAGGACCGGGACGGACGUACCUCUGGCGCACCAGUUGUUCCGCCAGGAGCAUAGCUGGGCAACUACGUACGGAUCGGAUAAACGCUGAAAGCAUCUAAGCGUGAAGCCGACCCAAAGAUAAGAUGUCCCAUUGUUUUAAACAAGUAAGACCCCUUGAAGACUACAAGGUUGAUAGGCACGAUGUGUAAGUGGAGUGAUCCAUUCAGCAAGCGUGUACUAAUAGGUCGAGGGCUUGACU
rnacentral:rRNA from 1 species